rnacentral:rRNA from 1 species
UCAGUCGACUCCUACGGGGAGGCAGCAGUGGGGGAAUAUUGCACAAUGGGCGCAAGCCUGAUGCAGCCAUGCCGCGUGUGUGAAGAAGGCCUUCGGGUUGUAAAGCACUUUCAGUUGUGAGGAAGGUGGUGUCGUUAAUAGCGGCAUCAUUUGACGUUAGCAACAGAAGAAGCACCGGCUAACUCCGUGCCAGCAGCCGCGGUAAUACGGAGGGUGCGAGCGUUAAUCGGAAUUACUGGGCGUAAAGCGCAUGCAGGUGGUUUGUUAAGUCAGAUGUGAAAGCCCGGGGCUCAACCUCGGAACUGCAUUUGAAACUGGCAGACUAGAGUACUGUAGAGGGGGGUAGGAAUUUCAGGUGUAGCGGUGAAAUGCGUAGAGAUCUGAAGGAAUACCGGUGGCGAAGGCGGCCCCCUGGACAGAUACUGACACUCAGAUGCGAAAGCGUGGGGAGCAAACAGGAUUAGAUACCCUGGUAG